rnacentral:rRNA from 1 species
GAUGAACGCUGGCGGCGUGCCUAAUACAUGCAAGUCGAGCGAACAGACGAGGAGCUUGCUCCUCUGACGUUAGCGGCGGACGGGUGAGUAACACGUGGAUAACCUACCUAUAAGACUGGGAUAACUUCGGGAAACCGGAGCUAAUACCGGAUAAUAUAUUGAACCGCAUGGUUCAAUAGUGAAAGACGGUUUUGCUGUCACUUAUAGAUGGAUCCUCGCCGCAUUAGCUAGUUGGUAAGGUAACGGCUUACCAAGGCGACGAUGCGUAGCCGACCUGAGAGGGUGAUCAGCCACACUGGAACUGAGACACGGUCCAGACUCCUACGGGAGGCAGCAGUAGGGAAUCUUCCGCAAUGGGCGAAAGCCUGACGGAGCAACGCCGCGUGAGUGAUGAAGGUCUUCGGAUCGUAAAACUCUGUUAUUAGGGAAGAACAAAUGUGUAAGUAACUAUGCACGUCUUGACGGUACCUAAUCAGAAAGCCACGGCUAACUACGUG